GGUACUUAACUAAGUCCUUACACUAAAACCAAAUUUUCAACGAUGGAUAUCUUGGUUCCCACAACGAUGAAGAACGCAGCGAAGUGCGAUAAGCAGUGCGAAUUGCAGAACCGUGAGUCAUCAGAUUUUUGAACGCAGUUGGCGCCGGUUGGU
rnacentral:rRNA from 1 species